rnacentral:rRNA from 1 species
UGGGGAAUUUUGGACAACGGGGGAAACCCUGAUCCAGCCAUCCCGCGUGUGCGAUGAAGGCCUUCGGGUUGUAAAGCACUUUUGGCAGGAAAGAAACGUCAUGGGUUAAUACCCCGUGAAACUGACGGUACCUGCAGAAUAAGCACCGGCUAACUACGUGCCAGCAGCCGCGGUAAUACGUAGGGUGCAAGCGUUAAUCGGAAUUACUGGGCGUAAAGCGUGCGCAGGCGGUUCGGAAAGAAAGAUGUGAAAUCCCAGAGCUCAACUUUGGAACUGCAUUUUUAACUACCGGGCUAGAGUGUGUCAGAGGGAGGUGGAAUUCCGCGUGUAGCAGUGAAAUGCGUAGAUAUGCGGAGGAACACCGAUGGAGAAGGCAGCCUCCUGGGAUAACACUGACGCUCAUGCACGAAAGCGUGGGGAGCAAACAGG